AUGAAAGUUAUUGAUCAGCUUGAUUCCACAGCUAUAAAGACAAAAANAGUGCUGACCCAGACGCCUGCUGUCCACACAGUUUCUACAGGACAACAAGUUGUUCUCAACUGCAACAUUCAGAGAUAUGACAGCAAUUCUGUCCGCUGGUAUAAACAGGUUCCUGGUGAAGCUCCUCAGUAUGUUCUGAGAUUUCUUCAUUCUAACAGUGCACUCAACUUUGGAUCAGGAUUCUCCUCAGAGAGAUUCAACUCUAAAUCCUCAUCAAACAUAGAUUACCAGUUCAUCAUAAAGCAGACAGAGACAGGAAACUCUGCUGUCUAUUACUGUCAGACAUGGGAUGACUCUGCUAAGGAGUUCGUAUCACAAUUUCAGAUAGUUUACUUCAUUAUAUUCCUUAUAUUGCCAACAUCACUAAUGAUGAAUCUCCUACUGUCAUGCUUU